ACCAUAGAGUCAGCCCUCCGGGACAGAGCGUCUCUCUCGCGCGCGCUUUCUCCGCGUCCCGCGGUGUCCGGUGGUGUCUUUCCCGAGCGGAGGGCGCGCACUGCGGGGAUCCCGGCGAGCGGGAGCGGCCCAAAGAGGCAAUAUGGAGAAUGUCCUUGCUGCCGAAAAUCUGGCAAAAGUCUCACAGAACAGCCCCGCUUUUUCAAAGCCUGGUAUUCUUCUGUCCCAUCACAAGGAAUAACUCAUUCCUCUGCACGUGUGUAUGUGCGUGCUUAUGGACGAGUUGAUGUUGUGCCACGGUUGUUGUGUGAAAGCCCCGGUGAAGGCAACGGCCGCGUGGAACGUGUGCAGGCUGGCGGAUGCGGUCCCUCAGAAAGCGGUUGGAUCCCUGAUGAGCCUGUAGAGGCACCUCAAGGCCCCGCAAAGAUUUGGAAAUACCUCAGCUUCUUUUUGUGACCAAUCUCAGCAGCGUCGCCCUUUCUGGUUGACACCUUCCAAUCUCCUGUGCUGUUGGAGACUGAAGCUGGAGCUGCUCAAAGGAUCAGUCCUUUGAAGUGUUAAUGUGAGUCGUGCCUGCGAACCUGAAAGUGCACGUGUGCUCUCAGCCCGGUUCACAGCAGCGCUGUUUGUAGAAACGUUUUGUGUGGUCCCUCUUCUCGGUGCUGCGUGGGAAGCGAAUUCCCCUCCUUCAGCUGCCGGUGCCCAGCCUGGAUGCGUGGUCUCACCUGGACCAUCUCAAGGUUGCGUUGCUGUCACCUUCACUGUGUGACUGGGAAGAGUGUGUCUGUAUCGGGGGACACUUUGGCCUCUUCUGCCCAGGCCCAGGGAAGCUGGAGGAACCCUGUGGAAACCAGCGUUGUCUGCAUUAAAGCUUUUGAUCGGUUGCCAAGUGCUGUAUGUGU